CUACGGAGGGUGCAAGCGUUAAUCGGAAUUACUGGGCGUAAAGGGCGCGUAGGCGGUCUAUCAAGUCAGUUGUGAAAUCCCACGGCUCAACCGUGGAGGUGCAUCUGAAACUGAUAGACUUGAGUAUGGGAGAGGAAAGUGGAAUUCCCGGUGUAGAGGUGAAAUUCGUAGAUAUCGGGAGGAACACCAGUGGCGAAGGCGACUUUCUGGACCAAUACUGACGCUGAGGCGCGAAAGCGUGGGGAGCAAACAGGAUUAGAAACCCCAGUAGUCC
rnacentral:rRNA from 1 species